rnacentral:rRNA from 1 species
CCUACGGGGGGCUGCAGUAACGAAUCUUCCGCAAUGCACGCAAGUGUGACGGAGCGACGCCGCGUGUGGGACGAAGCCCUUCGGGGUGUAAACCACUGUCAGGGGCUACCAAGUCCUGAGGGGCCCCAGAGGAAGGCACGGCUAACUCUGUGCCAGCAGCCGCGGUAAGACAGAGGUGCCGAGCGUUAGGCGGAAUCACUGGGCUUAAAGCGUGUGUAGGCGGGCCGUUAAGUACCUUGUGAAAUCCCCCGGCUCAACCGGGGAACGGCUGGGUAUACUGGCGGUCUUGAGAGGCCUAGGGGCGGACGGAACAAGCGGUGGAGCGGUGAAAUGCGUAGAUAUCGCUUGGAACGCCGACGGCGAAAGCAGUCCGCUGGGGGCCAUCUGACGCUGAGACACGAAAGCCAGGGGAGCGAACGGGAUUAGAUACCCGAGUAGUC